AACGACUCUCGGCAACGGAUAUCUCGCUCUCGCAUCGAUGAWGAACRUAGCSAAUCCUGCCUGGGCGUCACAGAUGUGCUCUAAGUCGUCCAGCUAAGAUGUGCAGA
rnacentral:rRNA from 1 species